UAGCAGAAUUCAGUGAAUCAUCGAAUCUUUGAACGCACCUUGCGCUCCUUGGUAUUCCGAGGAGCAUGCCUGUUUGAGUGUCAUU
rnacentral:rRNA from 1 species